rnacentral:SRP_RNA from 1 species
GCUGGAUGAAGCUCUUGCCUGUAGUCCCAGCUACUGAGGAGGCUGAGAUGGGAGGAUCAUCUGAGCCCAGGAGUUCUGGGUUUUAGUGUGCUCUGCUGAUCCAGAAUCUGCACUAAGUUCUGCAUCCAUAUAGUGACCUCCCAGGAGCAGGGGACCACCCGAGAAGGGAUGAAUCAGCCCAGGUUGGAAACGGGGCAGAUCAAAACUCCUGUGCUGGUCAGCAGUGCGAUCACGCCUAUGAAUAGCCACUGCACUCUAGCCUGGGCAAUAUAGUGAGACUCUAUCUCU